CACAUUUUGGCGUUUACGAGUCCCUGGUGUUCUUGCUUCCCAUCAAAUGAACUAAGGAGUGCCACGAGUCCAAGGACACAGCUAAGUGCUCGUGUGGAAGAGAUGGCAGGCUCAUGCUCUGCGGCCAUCGGUGGCAGAACCAAGAUCCACGGAGAGAAGCAAAGGACGAGCACAUUUCAGUUCAAGAGAAGAAACGACUUAAAAACCAUCAGAGCUGCCCAGAGAGAGAGCUGAUUGUGUCACGAGGAUACCAGUCCCUGCCCACUGCCUUCAGUUCAUCUUUACCUGCAUCCUUUCAAAAGCCACAUUCCCCACAGCGCGGAGGGGACUGGAGGAGGCACGCCGUGUCUGGGCUGACUCAAAUCCUUGAGAGAAGCAUUAGAGCCCAAUGAGAGUCUGCAAGAGCCCUGGACAG